rnacentral:snoRNA from 1 species
AUCGCUGUGAUGAGCCGUAACAAUAAGAAGACCAACCGAUCAAUUGGUUCUUCGGUGAAAUAUUCCUUUACGCUUGGCUUCUGAGCUAA